UUUUUUAUAUAUUUUUUUUUCAAUGCGUUUCUUUUGAAAAAUAAAUAUGCUAUGAUGCACAUGAUGCAGACAUGGCUGGCUGGUUGUGCAAUCUCUGAUCACUAGGUCGAAGCUUCAGUCAAAAUUGGAACAUAAAUCCCACUUAAGGUUAACUGAACACUGUCUGAACACAAAGUCACCAUCAGAAUCAAGUCACCAACAGAACCGAGUCACCAACGGUACCUGUAAUAAUGA
rnacentral:lncRNA from 1 species